rnacentral:rRNA from 1 species
UACGGGGGGGGCAAGCGUUGUUCGGAAUUACUGGGCGUAAAGGGCUCGUAGGCGGCCAACUAAGUCAUGCGUGAAAUCCCUCGGCUUAACCGGGGAACUGCGUCUGAUACUGGAUGGCUUGAGUUCGGGAGAGGGAUGCGGAAUUCCAGGUGUAGCGGUGAAAUGCGUAGAUAUCUGGAGGAACACCGGUGGCGAAGGCGGCAUCCUGGACCGAUACUGACGCUGAGGAGCGAAAGCUAGGGGAGCAAACGGG